CAGCCGCCACGGUAAAACGAAGGGGGCUAGCGUUGUUCGGAAUUACUGGGCGUAAAGCGCACGUAGGCGGACAUUUAAGUCAGGGGUGAAAUCCCGGGGCUCAACCCCGGAACUGCCUUUGAUACUGGGUGUCUAGAGUAUGGAAGAGGUGAGUGGAAUUCCGAGUGUAGAGGUGAAAUUCGUAGAUAUUCGGAGGAACACCAGUGGCGAAGGCGGCUCACUGGUCCAUUACUGACGCUGAGGUGCGAAAGCGUGGGGAGCAAACAGGAUUAGAUACCCCGGUAGUCCCUGUCUCUUAUAC
rnacentral:rRNA from 1 species